rnacentral:rRNA from 1 species
UACGUAGGGGGCAAGCGUUAUCCGGAUUUACUGGGUGUAAAGGGGGCGCAGACGGCGAUGCAAGCCAGGAGUGAAAGCCCGGGGCCCAACCCCGGGACUGCUCUUGGAACUGCGUGGCUGGAGUGCAGGAGGGGCAGGCGGAAUUCCUGGUGUAGCGGUGAAAUGCGUAGAUAUUAGGAAGAACACCAGUGGCGAAGGCGGCUUUCUGGACUGAAACUGACGCUGAGGCACGAAAGCGUGGGGAGCGAACAGG